AUUGAUCUAUGCUGGUCGAUUUGGGUGACUACUCAGUUUGUGUGGUCAAACUUUGUGACUGUUGAUUGUGUGUCAUCGUAGCCCAAUGAUGCCAGUAGGGUGAAUUGUUGCUCAUAACAUCAACCACUAGGUUGUCAAGACUCACUUAUGAACAGGCUGAAUUGUUGCUGAGUGCAGUGUAAAGCAUCAAUACAAAAAUAGGAACAAAAACGUUAAUUCUGGAGAUCCUCCCACUUUAUCAGCAAUUUACUCAUGUGUUAAUUUCAGGUAAUGGAGAAAUCACAGCAGCUUCAAAGAUGUCAGGAUCAGGACAAAUCACAGAAGAUUUAGAGAUUGCAGGAGUUUGAAGAAUCACAGGAAAUGCAAAGAUUGCCUGAGCUGGAUGUUUAUGCAUUCAGUGAUGAUGACCUGGACCUACAAGUGACCCUACUUCAGGGGUUACUCCAUGAGGAAUCAUCACAGGAACAUCAUGAGGUUAGUAAAGCAGAAACAGAAACCCAGAUAGCCCACCUGUACCUGUAAAGUUUGCAUACUAUUGUUACCGGGGGCUCAGGUGGCCUACUCAUCUAUGGCGCCGCAAUUCGCUGUGCAGAGUUGCAUCCCCUGGGCACACCAGAAACCUAUGAUUGUGGGUUCGAAUCCUGGUUUGCCCCGGUUCUAGGUUUGU